UUUGAAGCAGACCCCGUAAGCAUCCUUCUUUCAUGAUGAUCCUCUAAUGAUCUGUCAACACCAGGCUCUGAGGGAAGCAUUAGAUUUGAUGCAGGCAAUGGAAGCUUCUCGUCACCAUGAGCAGCCCCAAAAGAAGACUGUGGCUUACCUUGUCUUCGAACCAUCAUUCUUCUAGGUUGACAUGACAAAAACACCUCAAAAUCACUUCCACUUUCAGAACCAAGGUCAUAAGCAGAGUUUAAUGUGGUUUCUGAGUUCUCAACAUCUUUACAUAGAAAAGCAGCCUCAAUCAUGGCCACUU
rnacentral:misc_RNA from 1 species